GAAAAAGUAAGAGAAAAAGAACAAGAGCAGAACAAGGCAGUAAUGGCUGGCCAGGGUCUAACAGUGAGAACAUACCUCUGCCUUUUUUCUGCCAAUGAACAGAAACCAGGGGCAACGUAUGUUUCUUCUUUGACUUCCCCUGGCAGAAAAGAAUAUUUACAGUUUGGCUUUGGCUUUUAAUAAAUGAAAGAAAAGUAACUCAGUAAAGGGCCAAGUGUCAGUGCUUAAAGGGAGGCACUGAUAGACUCUUAUCACUGUUUCCAUGAAAGUAGUAUAUCUCUUAUAUCAAGUCAUUACUGCCUAGAGUAUGUUCAAUCAGUAUUUAGAUCAGAGUCAGGGUGAAGGGAAGACACACAUGGUCCCCAGAAACCAAAUGUCAUCCUGUCAGAAAAACAACUUCUAGUUUCUACCUAGAACAUGCAAAAUAAUUUAACAAUGAUGAAAAAAAUUUACUUACAAUAACAACAAAAUCUAUACAAUCUCCAAACUUAAAAAAGCAUAAGGCCUAUAUGAACAAAACCAUAAAAUUUUACUGAACAGCAUUUAAGAAAGUCUGAAUAAGUGAAAACAUAUAUUAUGUGUAUAAACAGGUAAUCAAUGCUGUAAAAACAUAAAUUAUCUCCAAAUUAGCCCAUGUAUUGAAUAAAACUAUUUUCAAAUUUAAAAGCCUCACUAAAAAUCUUGCAACUUGGCAAAGUUCCAUCUGGAAGAACAAAUGCACAAGGAUGAUCAAGAAAACUUAGGAAAGAAAGAACACCAAUUGGUAUGAAGUACACUACAAAGUUGCAAUAACUACCACAGUAUGAUAUUGCCUCAUGAAAUAGAAAAAAAGAUGUGAGAGGCCAAGGCAGGUGGAUCACAAGGUCAGGAGAUCGAGACCAUCCUGGUCAACAUGGUAAAACCCUGUCUCUACUAAAAUUACAAAAAUUAGUUGGGUCUGGUGGUACGUGCCUCUAAUUCCAGCUACUCGGGAGGCUGAGGCGCAAGAAUUACUUGAACCCAAGAGGUGGAGGUUGCAGUGAGAAGAGACUGCACCACUGCACUCCAGCCUGGCAACUGAAUGAGACUCUGUCUCAAAAAAAAAAAAAAAGAAAAAAAGAAAGAUGAACAAAACAUAUUUUGGCACCCUCAAACAGGCUUGCUUGCUUACAUACAGGGGUCUAACAUAUUACAAAGGUAUUAGGACAAGAAUGAAUGGCUUAUUUAAUUAAUGGUGUGAGGCCACAAGCUAUAUAGGGAUUAAAGAAAGACAUAGCAGCCAUAAAAAAGAAUGAAAUCGUGUCUUUUGCAGCAGCAGGGAUGGAGCUGAAGGCCAUUAUCCUCAGUGAACUAACUCAAAAAAUCAAAUACUGCGUGUUCUUGCUUAUAAAGUAGGAGCUAAACAAUGGGUACAGACAGACAUAAAGAUGGAAAUAACAGAUACUGGGAACUCCAAAAAAGUGGAGUUUGGGAAGGGGGUAAGGGAUGAAAAGUUACCUAUUGAGAACCACGUUCACUAUUUGGGUUAACGGGUAUGCUAGAAGCCCAAUGUCCACCAGUACACAAUAUACUCAUGUAACAAACAUGCACAUGUACCCCCAUAUCUAAAAUAAAAUUUAAAAAAAGAAAAUGAUAUACAUGACCACAUACCAAAUAGAAUGCAAAUUUAUAGUUACAGAAGAAUAUUUAGGACAUUGUAUGUAAUUUUUGCAUACAGCAAGGCUAGGAAGCCACAGUAGAUUUGAGUUAAAAAACAAAAAAACAAAAAAACUAGUUAUCCCUUAAUAAUUCAAAGUAGCAAACAAAAAAAAGACAAAGAUAUAUAACAAGUAAAAUCAAAGAGAAGAUAAAUAGUUCUUAAACAUACGAAAAAUGCUCAGCCUCACUAAAAAAGAACGAAAAAGUAAAAAUUUUUUUGACUCUAAUUUACAAACAUUAAAAACUGAAUGAGCUGCAGUAGAAGCAAGGAUGAGGAGGAAUGCGCACUUUGAUACAUCAGUGGGGAAAGUGCAAAUUAGAACAGCUUUGUGUGUGUGUUUAGGAAUACAUUUAAAAGCUUUAGAAGGCACUAACACACACCAAACAUACACCACUCAGUGGUUGCUGGAGGGCCAAAGUUAUAUAGGGAAUUUAACUUUCUCCAGAUUUUUACAACAUUUUCACAAUGAUCAUAUUCUGAGAGGAAAAUACUUUCACAUUUUAAAAAUCAGCUACAGAGGGCCAGGCAUGGUGGCUCACGCCUGUAAUCCCAGCACUUUGGGAGGCCGAGGCGGGUGGAUCACGAGGUCAGGAGAUCGAGACCAUCCUGGCUAACAUAGUGAAACCCCAUCUCUACUGAAAGAAACACAAAAAAUUAUCCGGGUGUGGUGGCACGUGCCUGUAGUCUCAGCUACUCAGGAGGCUGAGGCAGGAGAAUCGCUUGAACCUGGGAUGUGGAGGUUGCAGUGAGCCAAGAUGGCACCACU
rnacentral:lncRNA from 10 species